rnacentral:rRNA from 1 species
UACAGAGGGUGCAAGCGUUUAAUCGGAAUUACUGGGCGUAAAGCGAGCGUAGUCGGUUAUUUAAGUCGGGUGUGAAAGCCCCGGGCUCAACCUGGGAAUUGCAUUCGAUACUGGAUAGCUAGAGUUCGGCAGAGGGAAGCGGAAUUUCCGGUGUAGCGGUGAAAUGCGUAGAUAUCGGAAGGAACAUCAGUGGCGAAAGCGGCUUCCUGGACCAGAACUGACGAUCAGGCUCGAAAGCGUGGGGAGCAAACAGG